AACGAACGCUGGCGGCAGGCUUAACACAUGCAAGUCGAGCGCCCCGCAAGGGGAGCGGCAGACGGGUGAGUAACGCGUGGGAAUCUACCCAUCUCUACGGAAUAACGCAUGGAAACGUGUGCUAAUACCGUAUACGUCCUUCGGGAGAAAGAUUUAUCGGAGAUGGAUGAGCCCGCGUUGGAUUAGCUAGUUGGUGGGGUAAAGGCCUACCUAGGCGACGAUCCAUAGCUGGUCUGAGAGGAUGAUCAGCCACACUGGGACUGAGACACGGCCCAGACUCCUACGGGAGGCAGCAGUGGGGAAUAUUGGACAACGGGCGCAAGCCUGAUCCAGCCAUGCCGCGUGAGUGAUGAAGGCCCUAGGGUUGUAAAGCUCUUUCACCGGUGAAGAUAAUGACGGUAACCGGAGAAGAAGCCCCGGCUAACUUCGUGCCAGCCGCCGCCGUAAAAC
rnacentral:rRNA from 1 species